CUCCAUCCAAAUUUAAUACACUGGCCCUCUGCCUCCCUCCAUCAAAUUAAUACACUGGCCCCUCCCUCCCCAAAUUAAUACAUUGGCCCCCUGCCUCCCUCCAUAAAAUUAAUGCACUGGCCCCUCCCUACCCAAUUAAACACACUACACAGAAAGGUCCCCCAAGCCCCUCUUCUCCAUCCUUAAGAUAAGCCACCCAUCCUCCAGUUCCAGCCCUGCUCUCUUCUGUUCUAGCAGGCCAGAUGCUCCUCUGGCACUGUAAGCAGGAGGUAAGGGGGAGUGGCUGGUUGCUCUGCAGACAGCCACUCUGCUCUCUUACAGCCGUGGGAGGGAAGACCAGAAACAAGAAAGCUCUUUCCUGUCUUGUGCUGGUCACAGCCACAGCAUGAAGUGGCUCCAGGGCAGGUGGGCUGCAAGUUUGACAUGCUUGCUCUAAAGCUUCCUUGUCACUCUUUCACAAUAGGGUAUAGAGUUCAUUAGAAGGCUGUAUACAUAUGUAUUUACUAGAUUACUGAAGGUAUAAAUUCAUACAAUUGUAGAGGUUGAAAAGGUAUUGUAGCAAUCUACUUACCAAACUGACAGUCAAGUGUAUAAACACUCUAAAGCAAUUUUGUAUUUUCAUUAUAGCUAAUCUAGAACUAUUACUUGUGCAACCACAUCAAUAUUAACCCCUUACUUGAGUUUGGUGUGCUAUGCUGUCCUUUAGGAAGUGAUCCUCUCUGUCCUUCCCACUUACUUUACUCUAGUGGCAGUCACUCAGAUGGCCACUAGAGGUGCUACCUGUGUCAGUGCUGCACAGUGUUUCUCACUGGCACAGGAAGCACAUCUAGGGCUGUCUGACUGCCACUAGACCCAGGGCCGUCUUUAAUUUUGAUUGGACCCUGGGCAACCAUUUACUUGGGCCCCCUGACUAUAUAUAGAUACACACAAAUACACUACCUGACACACAUGCAGAUACACACUGACCGCAUGUAGAUACACACAAGAACAUACAGAUACACACAGACUACAUAUAGAUACACUGACACACACAUAGACAUACACACAGAUAUAAACACUGACAUACAUGCAGAUACAAAGGUACACCCAUUGACUACAUAUAGAUACUGACACACAUCCAGACACACAGAUACACAACCUAAAACACAUGCAGAUAUACAGAUACACACACAAACGGAAAACCUACAGAUACAGAGACACAUUCUGACAGACGUACUGACACAGACAGUCAUACUGAAACACACAUACACAAAGACAUACUGAACCACACAGACACUGACAUACAGAUACACUGACAGACAUGCUGGCACAUAUACACACAGACAUUGACAGACAUAUUGACAAACACAGACAUACAGAACCACAUGGACACUGACAGACUCACACAGACAUACUGGCACACAUACACACAGACAGACAGAUAUACUGAAACACACAUACACACAGACACUGACAAACACAUACAGACAUUUUGACACACAUAGACAGCCAUACUGAAACACACAUACAUACUGAACCACACAGACAUUGACAGACUCACACACACACAGAGACAUACUGACACAUACACACAUACACUGACAGACAUGCACACACACAGACAUACUGACAGACAUACACACAUAUACAGACCUACUGAAAAACACAUACAAACAUACUGAACCACACAGACACUGACAGACUCUCACACAUACAGAUACACUGACAGACAUACUGGCACACUAACAGACAUACACACAUACUGACACACUCAUGCAAAAUUUGAUAACCACCCUCCAGUUUCUUACCUUUUCCUGGAGGGUGGCUUCCCUGGGGUCCAGUGGGGUGGCUGGGAGUUAAGAUCUCCCGGCCUGGCCUCCUCCGGAACAGCUGGUCCUCCUUCCUCCCGCGUGGCUCCUGUUUCUGUGGGAGGAAGUGACGCACAGAUGUCACUUCCUCCCAGUGCUGCCGAAAAGCAAGGGCCCGGUCGCACUGUUAAAGCGCCACAGCGCCCAACCGGGCCCCUGCUGACACAGGCCCACUGGGUGGCCCUAAGUGCAUGGGCCACCCAAUGGGCUCCCAUAGUUUGCGGGCAGAGGGCAAACAGGGCAGUUACCUCGGGCCCCCCAGCAGGGACAGGGCCCGGGGCAGCUGCCCUGUUUGCCCCGCGUUAAAGACGGCCCUGACUAGACCUUUUCCUAGGCACCAACUCUGCCUUUUCUGCAUUUUACAAUUUAAUUCCCUCUGGGGCCAAUCUAACCCACUCCAAAUUUACCAUAUAGUAUUCUAAUAAACAAUAUAUGCCUUAACAGGCAUGUUUUCAAGUUCCCAUCUAUGAAUGAAUGGUUUAUUAUGUAAACAUGUGCAUCUUUAACACCUUCAGGACCGUCAUCAGCAUUUUUCCAUUGCCGACCGCUGACGGUCCUGAACCGUCCUAACGGUCUUAGUUACUUACCUGAUCGCCGUCAUUCCCCCGGCAGCGAUCGGCGUUGCUCCCAGUGUGGGGAGACUGCCUGCAGCACAGACUGUCUCCCCACACCGGAUUAGGACCCCUGGGGCCAUGUGAUCGCUCAACAUAGCGAUCACAUGGUCACAAUAGGUGUCCUAGUGUCUGCCUGCAGGCAGUCUCCCUGCUAGUGUAAAAUCAUA